rnacentral:rRNA from 1 species
GACGAACGCUGGCGGCGUGCCUAAUACAUGCAAGUAGAACGCUGAAGAGAGGAGCCUGCUCUUCUUGGAUGAGUUGCGAACGGGUGAGUAACGCGUAGGUAACCUGCCUUGUAGCGGGGGAUAACUAUUGGAAACGAUAGCUAAUACCGCAUAACAAUGGAUGACACAUGUCAUUUAUUUGAAAGGGGCAAUUGCUCCACUACAAGAUGGACCUGCGUUGUAUUAGCUAGUGGGUGAGGUAACGGCUCACCUAGGCGACGAUACAUAGCCGACCUGAGAGGGUGAUCGGCCACACUGGGACUGAGACACGGCCCAGACUCCUACGGGAGGCAGCAGUAGGGAAUCUUCGGCAAUGGGGGCAACCCUGACCGAGCAACGCCGCGUGAGUGAAGAAGGUUUUCGGAUCGUAAAGCUCUGUUGUAAGUCAAGAACGAGUGUGAGAGUGGAAAGUUCACACUGUGACGGUAGCUUACCAGAAAGGGACGGCUAACUACGUGCCAGCAGCCGCGGUAAUACGUAGGUCCCGAGCGUUGUCCGGAUUUUUUGGGCGUAAAGCGAGCGCAGCGGUUUGAUAAGUCUGAAGUUAAGGCUGUGGCUCAACCAUAGUUCGCUUUGGAAACUGUCAAACUUGAGUGCAGAAGGGGAGAGUGGAAUUCCAUGUGUAGCGGUGAAAUGCGUAGAUAUAUGGAGGAACACCGGUGGCGAAAGCGGCUCUCUGGUCUGUAACUGACGCUGAGGCUCGAAAGCGUGGGGAGCGAACAGGAUUAGAUACCCUGGUAGUCCACGCCGUAAACGAUGAGUGCUAGGUGUUGGAUCCUUUCCGGGAUUCAGUGCCGCAGCUAACGCAUUAAGCACUCCGCCUGGGGAGUACGACCGCAAGGUUGAAACUCAAAGGAAUUGACGGGGGCCCGCACAAGCGGUGGAGCAUGUGGUUUAAUUCGAAGCAACGCGAAGAACCUUACCAGGUCUUGACAUCCCGAUGCUAUUUCUAGAGAUAGAAAGUUACUUCGGUACAUCGGUGACAGGUGGUGCAUGGUUGUCGUCAGCUCGUGUCGUGAGAUGUUGGGUUAAGUCCCGCAACGAGCGCAACCCCUAUUGUUAGUUGCCAUCAUUCAGUUGGGCACUCUAGCGAGACUGCCGGUAAUAAACCGGAGGAAGGUGGGGAUGACGUCAAAUCAUCAUGCCCCUUAUGACCUGGGCUACACACGUGCUACAAUGGUUGGUACAACGAGUUGCGAGUCGGUGACGGCAAGCUAAUCUCUUAAAGCCAAUCUCAGUUCGGAUUGUAGGCUGCAACUCGCCUACAUGAAGUCGGAAUCGCUAGUAAUCGCGGAUCAGCACGCCGCGGUGAAUACGUUCCCGGGCCU